rnacentral:rRNA from 1 species
CCUACGGGAGGCAGCAGUGGGGAAUAUUGCACAAUGGGGGGAACCCUGAUGCAGCGACGCCGCGUGAGUGAAGCAGUAUUUCGGUAUGUAAAGCUCUAUCAGCAGGGAAGAAAAUGACGGUACCUGACUAAGAAGCCCCGGCUAACUACGUGCCAGCAGCCGCUGUAAUACGUAGGGGGCAAGCGUUAUCCGGAUUUACUGGGUGUAAAGGGAGCGUAGACGGGUAUGCAAGUCUGAAGUGAAAGCCCACGGCUCAACCAUGGGACUGCUUUGGAAACUGUAAAACUGGAGUGCAGGAGAGGUAAGCGGAAUUCCUAGUGUAGCGGUGAAAUGCGUAGAUAUUAGGAGGAACACCAGUGGCGAAGGCGGCUUACUGGACUGUAACUGACGUUGAGGCUCGAAGGCGUGGGGAGCAAACAGGAUUAGAUACCCGGGUAGUC